rnacentral:rRNA from 1 species
AUUGAACGCUGGCGGCAUGCCUUACACAUGCAAGUCGAACGGCAGCACGGGUGCUUGCACCUGGUGGCGAGUGGCGAACGGGUGAGUAAUACAUCGGAACAUGUCCUGUAGUGGGGGAUAGCCCGGCGAAAGCCGGAUUAAUACCGCAUACGAUCUACGGAUGCAAGCGGGGGACCUUCGGGCCUCGCGCUAUAGGGUUGGCCGAUGGCGGAUUAGCUAGUUGGUGGGGUAAAGGCCUACCAAGGCGACGAUCAGUAGCUGGUCUGAGAGGACGACCAGCCACACUGGGACUGAGACACGGCCCAGACUCCUACGGGAGGCAGCAGUGGGGAAUUUUGGACAAUGGGCGAAAGCCUGAUCCAGCAAUGCCGCGUGUGUGAAGAAGGCCUUCGGGUUGUAAAGCACUUUUGUCCGGAAAGAAAUCCUUGGCCCUAAUACGGUCGGGGGAUGACGGUACCGGAAGAAUAAGCACCGGCUAACUACGUG